UUCUCUUUAUUUAAACCAAAGUAUGGGACUCUUCCCCAUUCUUGGUUACUCUAUAGUGCAAACGAAUUCCUGGCUCUCCAUGCACGGCUGACUUUCUGCCAUUCUGCUGUUGCGAUAUUGAGUUAAGGAACAUGU
ensembl:snoRNA